CUUUUCUGAUGAUCUGUACGUACCGCCCCAGUCUGAUAAAAUUCGUGACUGAUUGGUUACUAUUUCUGAAAAAUC
rnacentral:snoRNA from 1 species